GCCCCCCCAUGUGUAUGAAACCUGUCACUACACAGUGCAGAGACCCAGAAGCAGCUCGAACAGGAUGGGUAAACAGAAGAGUGUGGUGCGUUAGCUUGCAUGGACAUUUCCUAUCAGGCAGAUUCUCUUAUUUUUGUGAAAAAUUAGUUUGUGAUUCCUUACUGCUUGCUGCAAACUUAAAACACUGGACUCCAAAUUCUCGCCCCCCUAACGAACCUGCAACUCAGACUGAAAUAUAUCAAGAAAGGGGAAUACUUUUGCAGAUAGAACAUGAAGAUAUUUGUACAGACUGGUGAUGAAAGAACCCAAAGUGUCACAAACCUGAAGGUGAGAUUGACAUCUACAACCUUGAUCUCUUCCCUCUAAACUGCUAUCUGAUUUCUAGAGUCAGUAUGUAAGGUAGAGGACUUGAGUGAUGGUCAAACAUGCACAUUUUUCAAAUGAAAUAAAGGUCAUGAUCAUCCAAAUGUCCAGCCUAUGUAAUAACAAUCUUGAGCACAUGUAAAUAUUUAGGUAAAACAAAUUAAAAUCACAUGGAGU